UUCUCAUUUACCCUUAACAUUUCAAUUUGUUUCCAUAUAAACAAAUCUAUCGAUUUAUUAUCGAUCUCAUUGAUUUAUAUAUUGUUGUAUAUAUUAUAUAAUGAUUAAAUGCCAUAUAUGAUGAUUAUAAUAAUCAAUAAUCAAUAUAUUAUAUAAAAAAAACUUGCCUCGCCUAUUUACUCAUUCAUGUAUCAUGGAUCAUCAUUAAAUUCAGAUUUCAAUGUGUAAAUAUAUGCAGCUAUAUAUAUAUUGUAAUUCUGAUUCAUUCAGAAUAAUUCUGUUUGAAUAAUUCUACAAUAGAAAAAUAGAUUUGAAAUAUAUACGUUUCUCACACAAAUAAAUACACACACACACACACACACACACACACACUAAGACACAGAAUAUCAGCGAAAUAAUUUACAUCUUGAACCAGUUCGUUUUUCUUUUCUGAAAAAAAAACACAUUGAUCCAUGAAAUUAUCAUCAUCAUCAUCAUAAUCAUUGAGAAUCAUUCAUAAACACAGACACAGACACACACACACACACGCAUAUAUACCAUAUAUAAUGUGUAUAAAUAUACGAAUAUAUUACCUGCAUACGAUUCAUAUGAUUCAUUUGUGGAUAUUAAUGGAAAUAUUAUAUUAUAUAUAUUUGUGAUAAGACAUACACAAUAACAGACAAACAUUGAACUUGAAAGUGACAAAAAAUAAAAAUUUCGAAAAUUUAAAUUCUUUGCAAUUGGUCACCUCCAUUACCAAUUUUACUUUCUGGAUACAACCAAUGAUUGACCAUCAUCAUGAUGAUGUUUUUUGUUUCCCGGAAAUGAAACAUUAUUUUUUCCAUGUGUGUGUGUGUGUGUGUGUGAUAUAUGGUUUUUUUUCCUGGUUGCAUCAUCAUCAAUUGAUUGAUCGAUAAUGAACUAAUAAUAACACUGAUGAUGUGAAAUCAAGUGCAUUAAAAUUAUAUUUCAUUGGU